rnacentral:rRNA from 1 species
UACGGGGGGAGCAAGCGUUGUUCGGAUUUACUGGGCGUAAAGGGCGCGUAGGCGGCCUCCGCAAGUCAGUUGUGAAAUCUCCGAGCUUAACUCGGAAAGGUCAACUGAUACUGCGGGGCUAGAGUGCGGAAGGGGCAACUGGAAUUCUUGGUGUAGCGGUGAAAUGCGUAGAUAUCAAGAGGAACACCUGCGGCGAAGGCGGAUCUCUGGGCCUUACCUGACGCUCAGGCGCGAAAGCGUGGGGAGCGAACAGG